GACAAACUGUGUUCCUUUUCAGUUCAAUACGAAAUGCGUAAUAUUUUCUCUGAAUACGAGACAUUUAGACAUUUAGAUAGAAGCUAGCGAGCUAACUUCCUGCUAAUUUCUAACUCUGUUAAAUGUCAUGAAUUCCGUUUCGUUUUCAUGGAUGCCUGGAUGAUAAACUCAAUUGUUAUACAUGGUAGAGCAGAACGCUGAUCAUUUUAUUACAGAUGAAAGACUUUAGAUAGUUUUUCAACUCUCAGUAAUGCCAUAGUGAUGGUGUGAUUUAUGGACCUGCAGCGGAGUUUGAGCCCAGACACGGCUAGUGAUGACAGACUUAAAGACCGGAUAAAGAGUGAUAUGAACAUAUCUAUAACUUACCUGAAUGAAAAUGUCUGGAGCACACCAACAGAUAUUUGGAGAUGGAAGAGAACUGGAUAUCAGCUGGUCUCACAGCUGCUAUCCAGACUAGACGCCUUCUUUUGGCAACAUCCGAUACAUAAGCUGCCUCAUGUUGCUUCCAGUUGGGGAAAGAAUGAAAAGAUAAACCAUUUUCAACCUUAUUCUCUUGCCGGUCUUGCGAUCUAACUUUACAACCGACCGCACAGCAAGUACGAACCAUAGCUGGUGUUAUCCGUGUACUUUCGCUCCUCUUUGCUAGCGCUUUGUUUGGCCCAGAAACAUGGCGCCUCAACCAAAAAUCCUGGCCACGCCCCCUCUCGUGACAUCACGCUCCAAAAGCCCUAUUUGGCUAAUCGUUGUGUCACUUCCGGUAUUUCAGACAAUCCCUUUCCGUCAAGGAUUUUUAAUUUGUUGCGGGUUUUUUAAAUUUGUUGUGGGUUUUUGUAAUUUGUUGUGGGUUUUUUUUUAUUUGUUGUGGGUUUUUGUACUUUGUUGUGGGUUUUUGUACUUUGUUGUGGGUUUUUUUAAUUUGUUGUGGGUUUUUGUAAUUUGUUGCGGGUUUUUUUUUAUUUGUUGUGGGUUUUUGUACUUUGUUGUGGGUUUUUUUUAAUUUGUUGUGGGUUUUUGUACUUUGUUGUGGGUUUUUGUAAUUUGUUGUGGGUUUUUGUAAUUUGUUGUGGGGUUUUGUAAUUUGUUGUGGGUUUUUGUAAUUUGUUGUGGGUUUUUUUUUUAUUUGUUGUGGGUUUUUGUACUUUGUUGUGGUUUUUUUUUAAAUUUGUUGUGGGUUUUUGUACUUUGUUGUGGGGUUUUGUAAUUUGUUGUGGGGUUUUGUAAUUUGUUGUGGGUUUUUGUAAUUUGUUGUGGGGUUUUUUUGCAAUUUGUUGUGGGGUUUUGUAAUUUGUUGUGGGGUUUUUUUGCAAUUUGUUGUGGGGUUUUUGUAAUUUGUUGUGGGUUUUUGUAAUUUGUUGCGGGUUUUUUUUUAUUUGUUGCGGGUUUUUUGUUCUUUGUUGUGGGUUUUUGUAAUUUGUUGCAGGUUUUUGUAAUUUUUUGUGGGUUUUUUUUAAUUUGUUGUGGGUUUUUGUAAUUUGUUGCGGGUUUUUGUAAUUUGUUGCGGGUUUUUGUAAUUUGUUGUGGGGUUUUGUAAUUUGUUGCGGGUUUUUGUAAUUUGUUGCGGGUUUUUGUAAUUUGUUGCGGGUUUUUGUAAUUUGUUGUGGGGUUUUGUAAUUUGUUGUGGGUUUUUGUAAUUUGUUGCGUUUUUUUUAAAUUUGUUGCGGGUUAUUGUAAUUUGUUGUGGGUUUUUUAAAUUUGUUGUGGGUUUUUUUUUAAUUUGUUGUGGGGUUUUGUAAUUUGUUGUGGGUUUUUGUAAUUUGUUGUGGGGUUUUGUAAUUUAUUGUGGGGUUUUGUAAUUUGUUGCGGGGUUUUGUAAUUUGUUGUGGGUUUUUGUAAUUUGUUGUGGGGUUUUGUAAUUUGUUGUGGGUUUUUGUAAUUUGUUGUGGGUUUUUGUAAUUUGUUGCGGGUUUUUUUUUAUUUGUUGUGGGUUUUUGUACUUUGUUGUGGGUUUUUUAAAUUUGUUGUGGGUUUUUGUGAUUUGUUGUGGGUUUUUGUAAUUUGUUGUGGGGUUUUGUAAUUUGUUGUGGGUUUUUGUAAUUUGUUGCGGGUUUUUGUAAUUUGUUGCGGGUUUUGUUUUAAUUUGUUGUGGGUUUUUGUAAUUUGUUGCGGGUUUUUGUACUUUGUUGUGGGUUUUUUUAAUUUGUUGUGGGUUUUUGUACUUUGUUGUGGGUUUUUGUAAUUUGUUGCGGGUUUUUUUUUAUUUGUUGUGGGUUUUUGUACUUUGUUGUGGGUUUUUUUAAUUUGUUGUGGGUUUUUGUAAUUUGUUGCGGGUUUUGUUUUAAUUUGUUGUGGGUUUUUGUAAUUUGUUGCGGGUUUUUGUACUUUGUUGUGGGUUUUUGUAAUUUGUUGCGGGGUUUUGUAAUUUGUUGUGGGUUUUUGUAAUUUGUUGCGGUUUUUUAAUUUGUUGCGAUUUGCUCUUCCCAGCCACCGUACUAUCUGUCUUCACACUAACCAAUGGCGUGUCCAGCGGGGUGGCCUGGGGGGGGCACAGGCCACCCCCCAAACCAGACUGGCCACCCCAGGUGCCACCCCAAAGGCAAAACAAUAAAAUUCAAUCAAAUAUCAAAUGUCCGAUUAUGUUUUCACGGUGACGCUCAGAUAUCCGAGUGUAAGUGAAUGCAGCAUCGCUUCUGCGCUAUGUGCAUCACGUUAGCAAAGGUAGGAGAGCCAAGUGCGAAAGAUGGCACUGCAGGAAACAAUUUUUCGGUGAAAGAAAAUGAGGACAGAAUAAAUGUCCCGGUAAGUAAUAUCAAGUUUGUUGAGUUUAGUAAACUUCGGUGAAAUUAGAAUCCCAAGGAAAAAAUAACACUUAAAGAAUUAUUGCAGCUGUGGAAUAUUUCAGACAGUAUGCUACAGAGGGCAGCUAACAUAAGAGUUAUGAGUUAUAAGAUGUAAUCUAAGUUGUAACAUUGCUGUAUGGAGCUGCAGAUUUGGUUGCAGGUUAACAUAGCUGGACUGGCCAUCGGGCAUACCGGGCAUAUGCCCGGUGACUUAUUUUUUAUUUUUUUUGUAACGGCAUGAACAAUGAGAGGUGGUGGAUUGGCCAGAUGCAGGUCGAUGUGUAGAAAUGACUCCGUUGUUUGGUGGUGGCUGUGACGGAGCUUCCACAGAGGCAGCAGGUGGAUGAGGGAAGGGGAGGCAGGAGGAGAGCCCCGAGGCAGCCACCAGUCCGAGUGUCAGGUGAACUGAACUUCAGGUAAGAAGUUAUGAGCUGCAGUCUAUCUGGGUCAGAUAUAAACCAAGUUUAGGUGGAGUUUAUUUUAGUUGUGCUGACUUUUUACUGUCAGUUGCAAUAACUCAUACUGCGUUCUAGCCAGCUUGACGGAGUUUUUAUACAGCUGGGUGGGUGCUAUGAUGUUACUGAUAGUGAACUUUAUUUUAUUCAUAAGGUUAGUUAGUAGAGUUGCCAACGGCUCCUUAAAAAAAUGGAAUGGUCCCUCAUUCAGAGAAAAUAUUACACGUUUCGUAUUGAGCUGAGAAGAGACGCAGUUUGUCCCGAACUUUAGCUAGAAUGGAAAAAGACACAAAGCUGGAU
ensembl:lncRNA